ACGAACGCUGGCGGCGUGCCUAAUACAUGCAAGUAGAACGCUGAAGAGAGGAGCUUGCUCUUCUUGGAUGAGUUGCGAACGGGUGAGUAACGCGUAGGUAACCUGCCUUGUAGCGGGGGAUAACUAUUGGAAACGAUAGCUAAUACCGCAUAACAAUGGAUGACCCAUGUCAUUUAUUUGAAAGGGGCAAAUGCUCCACUACAAGAUGGACCUGCGUUGUAUUAGCUAGUAGGUGAGGUAACGGCUCACCUAGGCGACGAUACAUAGCCGACCUGAGAGGGUGAUCGGCCACACUGGGACUGAGACACGGCCCAGACUCCUACGGGAGGCAGCAGUAGGGAAUCUUCGGCAAUGGGGGCAACCCUGACCGAGCAACGCCGCGUGAGUGAAGAAGGUUUUCGGAUCGUAAAGCUCUGUUGUAAGUCAAGAACGAGUGUGAGAGUGGAAAGUUCACACUGUGACGGUAGCUUACCAGAAAGGGACGGCUAACUACGUGCCAGCAGCCGCGGUAAUACGUAGGUCCCGAGCGUUGUCCGGAUUUAUUGGGCGUAAAGCGAGCGCAGGCGGUUUGAUAAGUCUGAAGUUAAAGGCUGUGGCUCAACCAUAGUUCGCUUUGGAAACUGUCAAACUUGAGUGCAGAAGGGGAGAGUGGAAUUCCAUGUGUAGCGGUGAAAUGCGUAGAUAUAUGGAGAAACACCGGUGGCGAAAGCGGCUCUCUGGUCUGUAACUGACGCUGAGGCUCGAAAGCGUGGGGAGCGAACAGGAUUAGAUACCCUGGUAGUCCACGCCGUAAACGAUGAGUGCUAGGUGUUGGAUCCUUUCCGGGAUUCAGUGCCGCAGCUAACGCAUUAAGCACUCCGCCUGGGGAGUACGACCGCAAGGUUGAAACUCAAAGGAAUUGACGGGGGCCCGCACAAGCGGUGGAGCAUGUGGUUUAAUUCGAAGCAACGCGAAGAACCUUACCAGGUCUUGACAUCCCGAUGCUAUUUCUAGAGAUAGAAAGUUACUUCGGUACAUCGGUGACAGGUGGUGCAUGGUUGUCGUCAGCUCGUGUCGUGAGAUGUUGGGUUAAGUCCCGCAACGAGCGCAACCCCUAUUGUUAGUUGCCAUCAUUCAGUUGGGCACUCUAGCGAGACUGCCGGUAAUAAACCGGAGGAAGGUGGGGAUGACGUCAAAUCAUCAUGCCCCUUAUGACCUGGGCUACACACGUGCUACAAUGGUUGGUACAACGAGUUGCGAGUCGGUGACGGCAAGCUAAUCUCUUAAAGCCAAUCUCAGUUCGGAUUGUAGGCUGCAACUCGCCUACAUGAAGUCGGAAUCGCUAGUAAUCGCGGAUCAGCACGCCGCGGUGAAUACGUUCCCGGGCCUUGUACACACCGCCCGUCACACCACGAGAGUUUGUAACACCCGAAGUCGGUGAGGUAACCUUUUGGAGCCAGCCGCCUAAGGUGGGAUAGAUGAUUGGGGUG
rnacentral:rRNA from 1 species